UGAGUAACACGUAGGCAACCUACCCAUCAGACCGGGAUAACCGCGGGAAACCGUGGCUAAUACCGGAUGACCCUUCCGGACAUAAGUCCUGAAGUUGAAAGGCGCUUUUGGUGCCGUUGAUGGAUGGGCCUGCGGCGCAUUAGCUGGUUGGUGAGGUAACGGCUCACCAAGGCGACGAUGCGUAGCCGACCUGAGAGGGUGAUCGGCCACACUGGGACUGAGACACGGCCCAGACUCCUACGGGAGGCAGCAGUAGGGAAUCUUCCGCAAUGGACGCAAGUCUGACGGAGUAACGCCGCGUGAGUGAAGAAGGGUUUCGGCUCGUAAAACUCUGUUGUUAAGGAAGAAUGUCAGUGAGAGUAACUGCUCAUUGAGUGACGGUACUUAACCAGAAAGCCACGGCUAACUACGUGCCAGCAGCCGCGGUAAUACGUAGGUGGCAAGCGUUAUCCGGAAUUAUUGGGCGUAAAGCGCGCGUAGGCGGUUUCUUAAGUCUGAUGUGAA
rnacentral:rRNA from 1 species